rnacentral:rRNA from 1 species
AGCGUACACGGUGGAUGCCCUGGCAGUCAGAGGCGAUGAAGGACGUGCUAAUCUGCGAUAAGCGUCGGUAAGGUGAUAUGAACCGUUAUAACCGGCGAUUUCCGAAUGGGGAAACCCAGUGUGAUUCGUCACACUAUCAUUAACUGAAUCCAUAGGUUAAUGAGGCGAACCGGGGGAACUGAAACAUCUAAGUACCCCGAGGAAAAGAAAUCAACCGAGAUUCCCCCAGUAGCGGCGAGCGAACGGGGAGCAGCCCAGAGCCUGAAUCAGUGUGUGUGUUAGUGGAAGCGUCUGGAAAGGCGCGCGAUACAGGGUGACAGCCCCGUACACAAAAAUGCACAUGCUGUGAGCUCGAUGAGUAGGGCGGGACACGUGGUAUCCUGUCUGAAUAUGGGGGGACCAUCCUCCAAGGCUAAAUACUCCUGACUGACCGAUAGUGAACCAGUACCGUGAGGGAAAGGCGAAAAGAACCCCGGCGAGGGGAGUGAAAAAGAACCUGAAACCGUGUACGUACAAGCAGUGGGAGCACGCUUAGGCGUGUGACUGCGUACCUUUUGUAUAAUGGGUCAGCGACUUAUAUUCUGUAGCAAGGUUAACCGAAUAGGGGAGCCGAAGGGAAACCGAGUCUUAACUGGGCGUUAAGUUGCAGGGUAUAGACCCGAAACCCGGUGAUCUAGCCAUGGGCAGGUUGAAGGUUGGGUAACACUAACUGGAGGACCGAACCGACUAAUGUUGAAAAAUUAGCGGAUGACUUGUGGCUGGGGGUGAAAGGCCAAUCAAACCGGGAGAUAGCUGGUUCUCCCCGAAAGCUAUUUAGGUAGCGCCUCGUGAAUUCAUCUCCGGGGGUAGAGCACUGUUUCGGCAAGGGGGUCAUCCCGACUUACCAACCCGAUGCAAACUACGAAUACCGGAGAAUGUUAUCACGGGAGACACACGGCGGGUGCUAACGUCCGUCGUGAAGAGGGAAACAACCCAGACCGCCAGCUAAGGUCCCAAAGUCAUGGUUAAGUGGGAAACGAUGUGGGAAGGCCCAGACAGCCAGGAUGUUGGCUUAGAAGCAGCCAUCAUUUAAAGAAAGCGUAAUAGCUCACUGGUCGAGUCGGCCUGCGCGGAAGAUGUAACGGGGCUAAACCAUGCACCGAAGCUGCGGCAGCGACGCUUAUGCGUUGUUGGGUAGGGGAGCGUUCUGUAAGCCUGCGAAGGUGUGCUGUGAGGCAUGCUGGAGGUAUCAGAAGUGCGAAUGCUGACAUAAGUAACGAUAAAGCGGGUGAAAAGCCCGCUCGCCGGAAGACCAAGGGUUCCUGUCCAACGUUAAUCGGGGCAGGGUGAGUCGACCCCUAAGGCGAGGCCGAAAGGCGUAGUCGAUGGGAAACAGGUUAAUAUUCCUGUACUUGGUGUUACUGCGAAGGGGGGACGGAGAAGGCUAUGUUGGCCGGGCGACGGUUGUCCCGGUUUAAGCGUGUAGGCUGGUUUUCCAGGCAAAUCCGGAAAAUCAAGGCUGAGGCGUGAUGACGAGGCACUACGGUGCUGAAGCAACAAAUGCCCUGCUUCCAGGAAAAGCCUCUAAGCAUCAGGUAACAUCAAAUCGUACCCCAAACCGACACAGGUGGUCAGGUAGAGAAUACCAAGGCGCUUGAGAGAACUCGGGUGAAGGAACUAGGCAAAAUGGUGCCGUAACUUCGGGAGAAGGCACGCUGAUAUGUAGGUGAAGUCCCUCGCGGAUGGAGCUGAAAUCAGUCGAAGAUACCAGCUGGCUGCAACUGUUUAUUAAAAACACAGCACUGUGCAAACACGAAAGUGGACGUAUACGGUGUGACGCCUGCCCGGUGCCGGAAGGUUAAUUGAUGGGGUCAGCGCAAGCGAAGCUCUUGAUCGAAGCCCCGGUAAACGGCGGCCGUAACUAUAACGGUCCUAAGGUAGCGAAAUUCCUUGUCGGGUAAGUUCCGACCUGCACGAAUGGCGUAAUGAUGGCCAGGCUGUCUCCACCCGAGACUCAGUGAAAUUGAACUCGCUGUGAAGAUGCAGUGUACCCGCGGCAAGACGGAAAGACCCCGUGAACCUUUACUAUAGCUUGACACUGAACAUUGAGCCUUGAUGUGUAGGAUAGGUGGGAGGCUUUGAAGUGUGGACGCCAGUCUGCAUGGAGCCGACCUUGAAAUACCACCCUUUAAUGUUUGAUGUUCUAACGUGGACCCGUAAUCCGGGUUGCGGACAGUGUCUGGUGGGUAGUUUGACUGGGGCGGUCUCCUCCUAAAGAGUAACGGAGGAGCACGAAGGUUGGCUAAUCCUGGUCGGACAUCAGGAGGUUAGUGCAAUGGCAUAAGCCAGCUUGACUGCGAGCGUGACGGCGCGAGCAGGUGCGAAAGCAGGUCAUAGUGAUCCGGUGGUUCUGAAUGGAAGGGCCAUCGCUCAACGGAUAAAAGGUACUCCGGGGAUAACAGGCUGAUACCGCCCAAGAGUUCAUAUCGACGGCGGUGUUUGGCACCUCGAUGUCGGCUCAUCACAUCCUGGGGCUGAAGUAGGUCCCAAGGGUAUGGCUGUUCGCCAUUUAAAGUGGUACGCGAGCUGGGUUUAGAACGUCGUGAGACAGUUCGGUCCCUAUCUGCCGUGGGCGCUGGAGAACUGAGGGGGGCUGCUCCUAGUACGAGAGGACCGGAGUGGACGCAUCACUGGUGUUCGGGUUGUCAUGCCAAUGGCACUGCCCGGUAGCUAAAUGCGGAAGAGAUAAGUGCUGAAAGCAUCUAAGCACGAAACUUGCCCCGAGAUGAGUUCUCCCUGACUCCUUGA